rnacentral:tRNA from 2 species
AAGGGCUUAGCUUAAUAAAAGCAACUGAUUUGCGUUCAGUAGAUGUAAUGUAGAGUUUUGCAGUCCUUA